rnacentral:rRNA from 1 species
AUUGAACGCUGGCGGCAGGCCUAACACAUGCAAGUCGAACGAGUGGCGGACGGGUGAGUAAUGUCUGGGAAACUGCCUGAUGGAGGGGGAUAACUACUGGAAACGGUAGCUAAUACCGCAUACCAUCAGAUGUGCCCAGUUGGGAUGAGCUUGUUGGGGGGGUAACGGCUCACCAAGGCGACGAUCCCUAGCUGGCCUGAGAGGAUGACCAGCACAACUGGAACUAGGACACGGUCCAGCCUCCUACGGGAGGCAGCAUUGGGGAAUAUUGCACAAUGGGCGCAAGCCUGAUGCGGCCAUGCCGCGUGUAUGAAGAAGGCCUUCGGGUUUUAAAGUCCGUUCAGCGGGGAGGCGUUACCCGCAGAAGAAGCACCGGCUAACUCCGUGCCAGCAGCCGCGGUAAUUC